GGAGAGGUGGCCGAGCGGUCGAAGGCGCACGCCUGGAACGCGUGUAUACGGGAAACCGUAUCAAGGGUUCGAAUCCCUUUCUCUCCGCCA
rnacentral:tRNA from 1 species